CCGGCGAUGUCCGAAUGGGGAAACCCAGUGCAAUUCGUUGCACUAUCGUUAACUGAAUACAUAGGUUAACGAGGCGAACCGGGGGAACUGAAACAUCUAAGUACCCCGAGGAAAAGAAAUCAACCGAGAUUCCCCCAGUAGCGGCGAGCGAACGGGGAGCAGCCCAGAGUCUGAAUCAGCUUGUGUGUUAGUGGAACGGUCUGGAAAGUCCGACGGUACAGGGUGAUAGUCCCGUACACCAAAAUGCACAGGUUGUGAACUCGAAGAGUAGGGCGGGACACGUGGUAUCCUGUCUGAAUAUGGGGGGACCAUCCUCCAAGGCUAAAUACUCCUGACUGACCGAUAGUGAACCAGUACCGUGAGGGAAAGGCGAAAAGAACCCCGGCGAGGGGAGUGAAAAAGAACCUGAAACCGUGUACGUACAAGCAGUGGGAGCACCUUCGGGUGUGACUGCGUACCUUUUGUAUAAUGGGUCAGCGACUUAUAUUCUGUAGCAAGGUUAACCGUAUAGGGGAGCCGCAGGGAAACCGAGUCUUAACUGGGCGUUAAGUUGCAGGGUAUAGACCCGAAACCCGGUGAUCUAGCCAUGGGCAGGUUGAAGGUUGGGUAACACUAACUGGAGGACCGAACCGACUAAUGUUGAAAAAUUAGCGGAUGACUUGUGGCUGGGGGUGAAAGGCCAAUCAAACCGGGAGAUAGCUGGUUCUCCCCGAAAGCUAUUUAGGUAGCGCCUCGUGAAUUCAUCUUCGGGGGUAGAGCACUGUUUCGGCUAGGGGGUCAUCCCGACUUACCAACCCGAUGCAAACUACGAAUACCGAAGAAUGUUAUCACGGGAGACACACGGCGGGUGCUAACGUCCGUCGUGAAGAGGGAAACAACCCAGACCGCCAGCUAAGGUCCCAAAGUCAUGGUUAAGUGGGAAACGAUGUGGGAAGGCACAGACAGCCAGGAUGUUGGCUUAGAAGCAGCCAUCAUUUAAAGAAAGCGUAAUAGCUCACUGGUCGAGUCGGCCUGCGCGGAAGAUGUAACGGGGCUAAACCAUGCACCGAAGCUGCGGCAGCGACACUAUGUGUUGUUGGGUAGGGGAGCGUUCUGUAAGCCUGUGAAGGUGACCUGUGAGGGUUGCUGGAGGUAUCAGAAGUGCGAAUGCUGACAUAAGUAACGAUAAAGCGGGUGAAAAGCCCGCUCGCCGGAAGACCAAGGGUUCCUGUCCAACGUUAAUCGGGGCAGGGUGAGUCGACCCCUAAGGCGAGGCCGAAAGGCGUAGUCGAUGGGAAACAGGUUAAUAUUCCUGUACUUGGUGUUACUGCGAAGGGGGGACGGAGAAGGCUAUGUUAGCCGGGCGACGGUUGUCCCGGUUUAAGCAUGUAGGCUGGUU
rnacentral:rRNA from 1 species